CACUCAACAAGAAACACAUGUGAAAUUUGUUUUACACCAUUUCUAUUAGAGUUGUAAGGAACUCCAUACAAUAUCAGCAGUCUAUACCCAUAAGGAGGCAACCCUGGAAUACUGAAAGGAAGAAGGGGAGGAAUUGCAACAGGCUUUUAUGGACUUAAUAUAAAACAGGAAACCUGGAUGAGGAGGCUCUUAGAAGGGAUCGAUCAAUACAUGACAGGCCUCAGGACCUGAUUAAUAUGCCUACAAAUGUCUGUGUCAACAACAGACCGUUAUACUGGCUUUGUCCUCAGAUGAAUGCAACGGGCUUAUUAACAGUUCAUGUACUGUGGUCAACUAUUUUGGAAAUAAUCUGCGAGUCAGAGACACUCUCUGUUUUUUGCCUGCUGACCAGCACACAAGUAACCUAUUGGUUGUGCAUUUUAUGGAUGCUCCAGAUGUAUGCAAGCAGAAGAAAUAGAUCUUGGGAAAAUUACAAUUUUGAACUACAGCUCCCAGAUUCCUCCUUCCAGCAUGGUUUGUGGUUGAUUUAAUCAAGGAAUUCUGGAAAGGUUUCUUUCAUAUGGUCAAUAUUUUCUGGUUAAUGGACUCAAUCUGAUGUUGAAUACGAAGCUUCACUGGCCAUGAGCAAAAUUUCAAAAUUCAUACUGUGGUUUUCCAUGUGCACAGUUCUUGAAGAUCAUGUCUUCAUACCUGGAAUAAGAAAAAAGAUAGAAAAUCAGUGGUCUAUAAAAUAAAUUUAGCAAUUUCAUUAAAAUUAAGGUUUAAUUUAACCAUUUAUUGUAAUGUGUGAUCAAAGAUUAUUAAAUAACAUUGACAGGUAUAACCUUUUUAUAAUCUUUAAAACCACACCUUAAUUUUUCCUGUUCCCGUAAAUCCCAU
rnacentral:lncRNA from 11 species